GUUUGAUCCUGGCUCAGGACGAACGCUGGCGGCGUGCUUAACACAUGCAAGUCGAACGAGAAUCUAUGGAUCGAGGAUUCGUCCAAGUGAAGUAGAGGACAGUGGCGGACGGGUGAGUAACGCGUGAGGAACCUGCCUUUCAGAGGGGGACAACAGUUGGAAACGACUGCUAAUACCGCAUAACACAUAGAGAUCGCAUGGUUUUUAUGUCAAAGAUUUAUCGCUGAAAGAUGGCCUCGCGUCUGAUUAGCUAGUUGGUGAGGUAACGGCCCACCAAGGCGACGAUCAGUAGCCGGACUGAGAGGUUGACCGGCCACAUUGGGACUGAGAUACGGCCCAGACUCCUACGGGAGGCAGCAGUGGGGAAUAUUGGGCAAUGGGCGCAAGCCUGACCCAGCAACGCCGCGUGAAGGAAGAAGGCUUUCGGGUUGUAAACUUCUUUUACCAGGGACGAAGGACGUGACGGUACCUGGAGAAAAAGCCACGGCUAACUACGUGCCAGCAGCCGCGGUAAUACGUAGGUGGCAAGCGUUGUCCGGAUUUACUGGGUGUAAAGGGCGUGUAGCCGGGAAGGCAAGUCAGAUGUGAAAUCCACGGGCUUAACUCGUGAACUGCAUUUGAAACUGUUUUUCUUGAGUAUCGGAGAGGCAAUCGGAAUUCCUAGUGUAGCGGUGAAAUGCGUAGAUAUUAGGAGGAACACCAGUGGCGAAGGCGGAUUGCUGGACGACAACUGACGGUGAGGCGCGAAAGCGUGGGGAGCAAACAGGAUUAGAUACCCUGGUAGUCCACGCUGUAAACGAUGAAUACUAGGUGUGCGGGGACUGACCCCCUGCGUGCCGCAGUUAACACAAUAAGUAUCCCACCUGGGGAGUACGAUCGCAAGGUUGAAACUCAAAGGAAUUGACGGGGGCCCGCACAAGCGGUGGAUUAUGUGGUUUAAUUCGAAGCAACGCGAAGAACCUUACCAGGGCUUGACAUCCUACUAACGAAGUAGAGAUACAUUAGGUGCCCUUCGGGGAAAGUAGAGACAGGUGGUGCAUGGUUGUCGUCAGCUCGUGUCGUGAGAUGUUGGGUUAAGU
rnacentral:rRNA from 1 species